rnacentral:lncRNA from 1 species
UUCUAAAAUACAUUUUUACAUAAAAAUGACUCACAAACACCCUCUUAAUUAAAGAAUAUAUUAAUUACGAGUCGCUGUUCCAACAUAUGAGAUAUUGAUAAUUAUAGAUAUAUGUUCAAACCGUCCUAGUCUUUAUAUUAAAAAACAAAUAAAAUCAACAUUGGAUCCUGAGAAACAAUUAAUGCAGGCAAAUUAUUAUAAUGUAGGCCCAAGAAAUAUUUCAAUUUGAAUUUGGGAAAUGACGCCAAUGCAAUCGUAACUUGGUUGAAUUUGACCGUGCCUAUAAUUAAAAUUGUAAUCCACCGUUAGAAGCAGUAUUUUGAAAAUCGGACUGAACUGAUCGGUUAAACCAAAAAAAUUGAGAACCGGCCUAACUCCCGGUCCGGUCUUGAUAUAUUAACCAAAAAAUGAAAAAUCGGUAAGUAACCGUACGGGCCCAAUAGGAUUCACAAGCCCACAAUAACACUUCCCCCGUGGCUGUUGCUUUUUUAAAGUUGAAGAUUCAUUUACAAC